rnacentral:rRNA from 1 species
GACGAACGCUGGCGGCGUGCUUAACACAUGCAAGUCGAACGGAAAGGCCCUGCUUUUGUGGGGUGCUCGAGUGGCGAACGGGUGAGUAACACGUGAGUAACCUGCCCUUGACUUUGGGAUAACUUCAGGAAACUGGGGCUAAUACCGGAUAGGAGCUCCUGCUGCAUGGUGGGGGUUGGAAAGUUUCGGCGGUUGGGGAUGGACUCGCGGCUUAUCAGCUUGUUGGUGGGGUAGUGGCUUACCAAGGCUUUGACGGGUAGCCGGCCUGAGAGGGUGACCGGCCACAUGGGGACUGAGAUACGGCCCAGACUCCUACGGGAGGCAGCAGUGGGGAAUAUUGCACAAUGGGCGGAAGCCUGAUGCAGCAACGCCGCGUGCGGGAUGACGGCCUUCGGGUGGUAAACCGCUUUCGCCUGUGACGAAGCGUGAGUGACGGUAAUGGGUAAAGAAGCACCGGCUAACUACGUG